GGUUAAUUUGCAAACCGCCUUGCACGUUGAUCGUCAGCAUAGGAUAAUGUUUUUGCUAAUGUUUUUAAACGGCUCGCGUUGUUACCAGGGAAGCCAGCUUGAAGCGGACGCGAAAAACAAUUCGGAAGUCUCUUCUGUCGGUCAUUGCUGUGGUGUCGGGAUACGUGGAGGAACUCGAUGACAAGUUUAAGGAGUACCUAAAGAAUGAACUCUGGCUGGUGGAGUUUUAUGCGCCAUGGUGUGCAUACUGUCACACGUUUGAGCCGAUAUGGCAAGAAGUCGGUGCAGAGCUGAAGAGUAUGGGCUCUCCUGUUAAUGUGGGCAAGAUUGAUACCACAGAGCACACAAGU